GAUUUUAUUUUAUGUUUUUUAAAUGUUUGUUAGUUUUUUUNGAAUGUGUUAUUUAAAUAACAUAAAAAAUAAAAUAUAUAUUGACAUGGAUUAAACAAAGAUAUUUUUUAUUUUUUGUUGCG
rnacentral:misc_RNA from 1 species